GCUCUUCGCCACGCGCUCGCACACCGUCGCGACACAGAUGUUCAGGAUGGAUUCGUCUGGUAGGAGACCCAGAUCACGAAGGUCGAGGGGUUCCAGUGGUGCUCCUAACAUGUUUGAGGGCACCACAACAAGCAGGAGCAGGCAAGAGCAGUUGCUUGCCUCCCUAGAGCAGAUGCGGGGUAGCAGCGGACCCUCCAAUACAGAAGGGACUACUUCGCGUGCAGCUGAUUUAGUGGCACCU